rnacentral:pre_miRNA from 1 species
UACUNACUCCCUCCGUCCCAAAAUUCUUGUCUUAAAUUUGUCUAAAUACGGAUGUAUCUAGUUACAUUUUAGUGUUAGAUACAUCCAUAUCUAAACAAAUGUAAGACAAGAAUUUUGGGACGGAGGGAAUACUAC